GAGUACCUACUAAGCAUAAGGGGAUUGGGACUGAAAAGUGUGGAGUGUGUACGGCUUCUGACACUUCACCAUCUUGCUUUUCCAGUUGACACAAAUGUUGGACGUAUAGCUGUACGAUUGGGCUGGGUCCCUCUUCAGCCACUGCCUGAAUCACUUCAGUUGCACCUUCUAGAGCUGUAUCCGGUGCUGGAAUCAAUUCAAAAAUAUCUUUGGCCCCGACUGUGCAAGCUUGACCAGAGAACACUGUAUGAACUACAUUACCAGAUGAUCACUUUUGGAAAGGUAUUCUGUACCAAAAGCAAACCCAAUUGUAACGCCUGUCCAAUGCGAGGAGAAUGCAGACACUUUGCGAGUGCGUUUGCAAGUGCAAGACUUGCCCUACCAGGGCCAGAGGAAAAAGGUAUAGUGAGCGCAACUGAAAACAGGACAAAUGAGCAAAACCCUGCUGUGAUGGUCAAUCAUAUGCCGCUGCUGCUACCCCAGGCCAGUGAACCAUCAGAAGGAAAUCAGCAGUCAGAACCCAACCAACAUAUAGAAGCAAAAUAUGCAGUCAGUAAUUGUGAACCUAUUGUUGAAGAGCCAUCAUCACCAGAACCAGAAUGCCC
rnacentral:misc_RNA from 1 species